CCUGACUGUGGUGUAUGUUGUAUAUGAUUGACUGGCUUGUUUCUGGGUGCUUUCAGGGGUCAAAGUUCUCUAUUGAUUCCUUUGUUCCAGAAAGUUUCAUAAGGUGACUUUUUCACAUGCUUCUCAUUGUAAGGAUGUAUUUUUGUUUGAUGGUACAAUUCAGGCUGAAGUCCAGCAGAUGGUGCUUGAGCAUAAGUGCUGGCCAGUAAGCUGGUGCCCCAGUGGAUGCACUCUCCCUAACAGUUGGUGACAGGAAGAGAAUGUGAUAUUCUGAAGCCUCAGUUGAAGGAAUGAGGGUGUGCAUCAGCUCCUCCUCCAGACCCAGAAGAGCAUAAUUCACUUUCCUAUCAUGCCCCUGUUGCAGGGUUCAUGACAUUUCCAUUUAUAAAAGCUUUGUCUUUUGGUUCCCGGCCAGAGUAUGGCUGUGGGCCAUGGUCUCACCUCUCUGACAGCUACCAGUAGGAUGAGGUUUGGGGACACAGCCUCUUUCCCUAGUUUGGGUCGGGCAGCUCCAUGGAUUGUACUUCAUUGCCAGGAUACUAUUGCUCAGUUUAGGGAGGAGGAGUUGGACCCCACCCUUUGUAAUAGCUGUAGCCACCAUGGGCUAACUUUCAACAGGGAUGGAGCCACUGGAAAAGCCCUAAAGUGCUUUCUUUCAGUAUCUUUAGUGGUUUUGGAGCCACCAGAGAAGCAUAAAAAGCACUUUCUUUCAGUGCAUGCUCACUUUCAAUGAGGGUGAAGCCAUCAGAAAAGUCAAAAAGUGCUUUCUUUCUGUGCAUGCUCAUAGGGAUGCAGUGGCAAGAACUGCUGCUGCAGCUAAAACAGUGCAAGGGAGGGAGAGAGGCAAGAGAUGACCCCCUCUCCAUGUUUUUGCUUGGGUACUUGUGGUUCCUCCUCUAGCAGUUGGCACCACACCCAUGUUUUCUUUGUCCCAAGAGGUGCUUUGGUGGGCUAUACUCCUUUCUUCUUAGGGGUGAUCUACACUGAGGGUUACAUACCCAGGGGUCCCACAACUACCCAGGGAACUAACAAUCCCUGUGCUUGCCAAAGUUAGAGCAGGUUGUGGGGUUUGUUUGUAUAUGGUUUGGUGGUGCAGUGGCUUAAGAGCAGAGGAUUUCCAGGCUGGGCAGUGGCAUCUCAGGUGCACUAUCAGUGUGGUGCCUACCAUCUCAACUUGGGUCUGAGGGAGGGGUAGCAUGCCUGCUUGAGCGGGCCACCAGGUUCUCUGGUCCCAGAAAGUUCUCUUAUCACCAGCCUUUGUGUUGACCUGGCUCAUGAGGGUGGAGGGACUCCCCAAUAGCAAUGAUCAGAUUGUCAGAGGGGUGAGGGAAGACAAGAAGUACUCCCACGUAUCCUUUCCACUGAGCUAUGAAUUCCUCUGGAGUUAGUCUCAGCCAGACUUUUGCUGCUUUCUUUCUUUGCUCCCUAGCCUCUUCCCAUAAGCUCUCUGAGAGUUCCUGGCUGCCUUCUCUCCAUUUUUCAUUCAAAUCCCGACCAUUCACUGGUAACUUUGAUCUUUCUUCUGAGGAGUACUGGCAUGCAAUGUCCCUACUCAUCAAUUUUGAAUUAAAAAAAAAUAAGCUGUUCCCUUACUUUUAAUAACUGUCCUUUCAUUUUAAUCCAACUGUUAAGUUUGUAUAACAAAUAUGAUACUGAAAAUUUUCCUUUUUUUUGCACUGUUGAAUCUAUACGACCAACAUUUUAAAUAAUGAUUUCCAUUCACAGGUGAUCAGCCUAUUCCCUGAUUACAGUCCUGUUUUGAUAUAUUCUUAUCAAAUGAAGUUUGUUUGAAGUUGGUUUCUCUUUCCAUGUGUUUGUUUAGAUCGUCACCACAAGG
rnacentral:lncRNA from 10 species